rnacentral:rRNA from 1 species
UACGGAGGGGGCUAGCGUUGUUCGGAAUUACUGGGCGUAAAGCGCACGUAGGCGGCUUUGUAAGUUAGAGGUGAAAGCCCAGGGCUUAACCCUGGAAUUGCCUUUAAGACUGCAUCGCUAGAAUUGUGGAGAGGUAAGUGGAAUUCCGAGUGUAGAGGUGAAAUUCGUAGAUAUUCGGAGGAACACCAGUGGCGAAGGCGGCUCACUGGUCCAUUACUGACGCUGAGGUGCGAAAGCGUGGGGAGCAAACAGG